UACGUAGGGUGCAAGCGUUGUCCGGAAUUAUUGGGCGUAAAGAGCUCGUAGGCGGUCUGUCGCGUCUGCUGUGAAAACUCAGGGCUUAACCCUGAGCUUGCAGUGGGUACGGGCAGACUAGAGUGCGGUAGGGGAGACUGGAAUUCCUGGUGUAGCGGUGAAAUGCGCAGAUAUCAGGAGGAACACCGGUGGGCGAAGGCGGGUCUCUGGGCCGUAACUGGACGCUGGAGGAGCGAAA
rnacentral:rRNA from 1 species